rnacentral:rRNA from 1 species
AGAGUUUGAUCAUGGCUCAAAUUGAACGCUGGCGGCAUGCUUUACACAUGCAAGUCGAACGGCAGCACGGGGGCAACCCUGGUGGCGAGUGGCGAACGGGUGAGUAAUGCAUCGGAACGUGUCUUCGAGUGGGGGAUAACGCACCGAAAGGUGUGCUAAUACCGCAUAAUCUCUACGGAGAAAAGCAGGGGAUCGCAAGACCUUGCGCUCUUGGAGCGGCCGAUGUCUGAUUAGCUAGUUGGUGAGGUAAAGGCUUACCAAGGCGACGAUCAGUAGCUGGUCUGAGAGGACGACCAGCCACACUGGGACUGAGACACGGCCCAGACUCCUACGGGAGGCAGCAGUGGGGAAUUUUGGACAAUGGGGGAAACCCUGAUCCAGCCAUGCCGCGUGAGUGAAGAAGGCCUUCGGGUUGUAAAGCUCUUUCAGCCGGAACGAAACGGUCACGGCUAAUACCUGUGACUACUGACGGUACCGGAAGAAGAAGCACCGGCUAACUACGUGCCAGCAGCCGCGGUAAUACGUAGGGUGCAAGCGUUAAUCGGAAUUACUGGGCGUAAAGCGUGCGCAGGCGGUUUUGUAAGUCAGAUGUGAAAUCCCCGGGCUUAACCUGGGAACUGCGUUUGAAACUACAAGGCUAGAGUGUGGCAGAGGGGGGUGGAAUUCCACGUGUAGCAGUGAAAUGCGUAGAGAUGUGGAGGAACACCGAUGGCGAAGGCAGCCCCCUGGGUUAACACUGACGCUCAGGCACGAAAGCGUGGGGAGCAAACAGGAUUAGAUACCCUGUAGUCCACGCCCUAAACGAUGUCAACUAGUUGUCGGGUCUUAACGGACUUGGUAACGCAGCUAACGCGUGAAGUU